rnacentral:rRNA from 1 species
UCGAGAAUCUUCGGCAAUGGGCGCAAGCCUGACCGAGCGACGCCGCGUGGAGGAUGAAGGCCUUCGGGUUGUAAACUCCUGUCGAGGGGAAAGAAGGUCCGCAAGGACUUGACUGAUCCCUGGAGGAAGCACGGGCUAAGUUCGUGCCAGCAGCCGCGGUAAGACGAACCGUGCGAACGUUAUUCGGAAUCACUGGGCUUAAAGCGCGUGUAGGCGGGAUGGUACGUCCGACGCUGAAAUCCCCCGGCUCAACCGGGGAACGGGCGGGGAUACGGCCAUCCUGGAGGGGCGUAGGGGUACCUGGAACUUCCGGUAGAGCGGUGAAAUGCGUUGAGAUCGGAAGGAACGCCCGCGGCGAAAGCGAGGUCCUGGACGCUUACUGACGCUGAGACGCGAAAGCCAGGGGAGCGAACG